UUCCUGAUGUUUAGUCGGAAUCUCCUUCCUUGUAACUUCAAGCUACGGGUUCGGGUCCUGCCCUCCAGAGCAGGAGAAAACAAGCUUGCUUCAUCUUCCACGUGACAGCCCUUUUGAAGAUGGCUAUCACAUCUCCUCUCAGUCGCCUUUUAUCCAGGCUAAACAUCCUCAGCAUUCCUCAUAAGAGAGCCAGUGUGGUGUUGUGGUUAAGAG